rnacentral:rRNA from 1 species
GACAGAGGGUGCAAGCGUUGUCCGGAUUUAUUGGGUUUAAAGGGUGCGUAGGCGGCCCGUUAAGUCAGUGGUGAAAGCCUCCAGCUCAACUGGAGAACUGCCAUUGAUACUGACGGGCUUGAGUACAGACGAGGUUGGCGGAAUUGAUUGUGUAGCGGUGAAAUGCAUAGAUACAAUCAAGAACUCCGAUUGCGUAGGCAGCUAACUAGGCUGUAACUGACGCUGAGGCACGAAAGCGUGGGGAGCGAACAGG